AGUAUUUGGACUAGAAAUGGAAACUGAUAUGUCUAUAAUUUGCAUGUUUUCAGUGUCCAUUCAUCAUCGUUUUGAGUCCAGUUUCGUAUCAUUCAUCACUGUUUUAUAUCAUUUCUUAUCAUUCUUGCAUACUUUGCAUGAUUAGGAUAGCUUUGCAUACAUAUUGCAUUU
rnacentral:sRNA from 1 species